UGCUUUAUAUAACAUUUAAGUUCUUUGCCAC
rnacentral:piRNA from 1 species